UCUUGGUCAUUUAGAGGAGUAAAAGUCGUAACAAGGUUUCCGUAGGUGAACCUGCGGAAGGAUCAUACUGAGUUAGGGUCAUCAUUGGCCCGACCUCCAACCCUUUGUCUACCUUUCUCAUGUUGCUUCGGCGAGCCCGUACUUUGAAAUAUAAGUACCGCCGGGGCCUUCGGGCCUCUGGUCAGUGCCCGUCGAUAGCCAUUAUUAAACUCUGUUUAACUGUGUCGUCUAAGUAAAAAGCACUUAAUAAAUUAAAACUUUCACAACGGAUCUCUUGGUUUUGGCAUCGAUGAAGAACGCAGCGAAAUGCGUAAGUAAUGCGAAUUGCAGAAUCCGUGAGUCAUCGAAUCUUUGAACGCAAUUGCGCCCUUUGGUAUUCCGAAGGGCAUGCCUGUUCGAGCGUCAUUAUACCUCUCAAGCCUAGCUUGUUGUUGGAUCUAGGUCUUGCUUUCGGCAUGCCGAUCCCAAAGAUAAUGACGGCGUCUGUGAGGACCCCAGUACACUGAGUUUCUAAGCACGUAUUAGGUGGAAAUCCAGGCCCGGUCUUACUUAUAUUUAACAAGGUUGACCUCGGAUCAGGUAGGGAUACCCGCUGAACUUAAGCAAUCAAUAAGCGGAGGAA
rnacentral:rRNA from 1 species